GACGAACGCUGGCGGCGUGCUUAACACAUGCAAGUCGAACGGAAAGGCCCUGCUUGCAGGGUGCUCGAGUGGCGAACGGGUGAGUAACACGUGGGUGAUCUGCCCCUUACUUUGGGAUAAGCCUGGGAAACUGGGUCUAAUACUGGAUAGGACCAUGCUGUAGGUGGUGUGGUGGAAAGAUUAGUUUCGGUAAGGGAUGAGCUCGCGGCCUAUCAGCUUGUUGGUGGGGUAAUGGCCUACCAAGGCGUCGACGGGUAGCCGGCCUGAGAGGGUGGACGGCCACAUUGGGACUGAGAUACGGCCCAGACUCCUACGGGAGGCAGCAGUGGGGAAUAUUGCACAAUGGGCGCAAGCCUGAUGCAGCGACGCCGCGUGGGGGAUGACGGCCUUCGGGUUGUAAACUCCUUUCAGCCAUGACGAAGCCCUUGUGGUGACGGUAGUGGUAGAAGAAGUACCGGCUAACUACGUG
rnacentral:rRNA from 1 species